rnacentral:rRNA from 1 species
AGGUAAUAGAUACCCGGGGUAGUCCAUGCCGUAAACGAUGAUUACUAGGUGUGGGGGGGUCUGACCCCUUCCGUGCCGGAGUUAAACACAAAUAAAGUAAAUCCACCUGGGGAGUACGACCGCAAGGUUGAAACUCAAAGGAAUUGACGGGGGCCCGCACAAGCAGUGGAGUAUGUGGUUUAAUUCGAAGCAAACGCGAAGAACCUUACCAGGUCUUGACAUCUAUCGAAUCCCUAAGAGAUUAGGGCGUGCCCUUCGGGGAACGGUAAGACAGGUGGUGCAUGGUUGUCGUCAGCUCGUGUCGUGAGAUGUUGGGUUAAGUCCCGCAACGAGCGCAACCCUUACUGUUAGUUGCUACGCAAGAGCACUCUAGCAGGACUGCCGUUGACAAAACGGAGGAAGGUGGGGACGACGUCAAAUCAUCAUGCCCCUUAUGACCUGGGCUACACACGUACUACAAUGGUCGUUAACAGAGAAAAGCAGGCCCGCGAGGUGGAGCAAAACUCUAAAAACGGUCUCAGUUCAGAUUGUAGGCUGCAACUCG